rnacentral:lncRNA from 1 species
GGUGAGGAUGAUCGAGGACAAGGAGGCCGACAUCAGGGACGCGCUCCACGCUGACAGCCGUGUAUGGAUUGGACUGUUUCUCGGGCUGGUUUGAUUGCACUUGAGAUUCAAUUUCAGAUUAUUUCGAUUCAACAAUCGGGAGUUCUAUCUUAGCUUCCCGGCCCCUGAUCAACGAAGAGAUGGUUGAAUUGUUUGGACUUUUUAAUUAGUUCAUUUUGAUUUUGGCGGAAUCUUAUGGCCUUUGCUUCAUUCAUGCAAGGUUCAUCAUUUUAUUUCUUUCUCAUGAACUGUUUAUCUUGCUCCAGCACGCGAUUGGCGGCGUUUGCUUGGCAUCGCUUGGCUGAGAUUGUGUUUUUCUUUCUCGACGUUUUCUCGACCGUACGAUUAUCUUUGAGAUUGUGUUUUUCUCGAUCGACGCCUUCUCGACCGUAUGAUCAUUACUUUUGACGCACAUGAUCGACUGAGAAACUUCUCGGUCGACUCUGUAGGCAGAUCCUUUCGACACACGGUUGAAUUAUUUCACCCACAUCUUGUUUUCUCUCUCAACAUUCUUAUAUAUUUAGAAGCAAUAAUACGCCAGCGUAAUUGGUGGUUUCAUAUUUGCCGUCUCGCAGUUGCGGACACGCUGCUGGCGCUCGGGACGACGAAGAUCAGAUGCGGCGGUGCGCCCCUGCCUGCUCACCGGAGUUCGGGAUGGCCACCAGAGCCAGUGUUCUUGUGAAUCGAUUGGGAGGUCCGUGGAGUAUUUUCCAACAAAGCAAUUAGCUAUCGGUUGGUCGAAAUACUAGCAGACAGAGCUAGUGACUGAGUACUGUUCGUGAUUCCGACAUCUCCGUUCUGUUUGUUGGUACUGCUGUCCUCUUGAGUGCUAAGCGGUACCAGCCUACAACCAUCAUUUCGUAAUCUAUCACUAAUAAUAAAAGCAGU